UACGUAGGGGGCGAGCGUUGUCCGGAAUUAUUGGGCGUAAAGGGCUCGUAGGCGGUUUGUUGCGUCGGGAGUGAAAACUCAGGGCUUAACCCUGAGCCUGCUUCCGAUACGGGCAGACUAGAGGUAUGCAGGGGGAGAACGGAAUUCCUGGUGUAGCGGUGAAAAUGCGCAGAUAUCAGGAGGAACACCGGUGGCGAAGGCGGUUCUCUGGGCAUUACCUGACGCUGAGGAGCGAAAAGUGUGGGGGAGCGAACAGG
rnacentral:rRNA from 1 species